rnacentral:rRNA from 1 species
CAUGUAGGCGGCUUAAUAAGUCGAGCGUGAAAAUGCGGGGCUCAACCCCGUAUGGCGCUGGAAACUGUUAGGCUUGAGUGCAGGAGAGGAAAGGGGAAUUCCCAGUGUAGCGGUGAAAUGCGUAGAUAUUGGGAGGAACACCAGUGGCGAAGGCGCCUUUCUGGACUGUGUCUGACGCUGAGAUGCGAAAGCCAGGGCAGCGAACG